AUGCUCCUCUGUCUUUGCCGCAAGUUUCUGGUGGAUCUCCUUCGUGUUCGUGCGACGCAACUCUCUCCGAUCUCUGUGUUCGCCGGUGUUAAGCUCCCUUUGUUGCUCAAUUUUCGCGAACAACAACUUCAACACCUCUUCUUCACUUUUCGCAUUGCUUGGUGCAGGACAUUAGCUUGGAGCGCGCAUAGCUUGCGAUUUAUUUUCACAUUGCAAUAUUGGAUGAUUGUAUUGGAUAUUGUAUCUGAUUUGAUUUGUUGUUGA